UCCUCCUUACAGAGGCAGUUUGUUUCGAGUUCCCGGCAUCACCCGCUGGCAACAUCGGACAGGGGUUGCGCUCGUUGCGCCACUUAAGGCAACACCUCACGGCACGAGCUGGCGACAGCCAUGCAGCACCUGUGCGGGCUCCCGAAGGAGGACCGGCUUUCACCGGCUUCACCCCGCAUGUCAAGCCCUGGUAAGGUUCUUCGCGUUGCGUCGAAUUAAGCCACAUGCUCCGCCGCUUGUGCGGGCCCCCGUCAAUUCCUUUGAGUUUUAGCCUUGCGGCCGUACUCCCCAGGCGGGGUGCUUAAUGCGUUAGCGUCGGCACGGAAGGGGUUGAUGCCCCCCACACCUAGCACCCAACGUUUACGGCUGGGACUAC
rnacentral:misc_RNA from 1 species